rnacentral:rRNA from 1 species
UACGUAGGGGGCAAGCGUUGUCCGGAAUCAUUGGGCGUAAAGCGCGUGUAGGCGGUUCAGUAAGUCUGCUGUGAAAGUCCAGGGCUCAACCCUGAGCGUGCUUCCGAUACGGGCAGACUAGAGGUAUGCAGGGGAGAACGGAAUUCCUGGUGUAGCGGUGGAAUGCGCAGAUAUCAGGAGGAACACCGGUGGCGAAGGCGGUUCUCUGGGCAUUACCUGACGCUGAGGAGCGAAAGCGUGGGGAGCGAACAGG